GUGUUACUCAACAGGCGAAAAAAGCAACUCAAUUGGCUUUAAAGGACGACAAGCAGUUGAUGGAGAUUGAAUUUCCAACUUCUGGACUUGAAUCUGUACCAGGUGAUGGUGAGGGAGGUACCGAAAUGACUGAAAGCAUGCAGCUGAUCCGACAGUUUUGUGACUGCUUCAUAAAUCCAGAGAAAGUUUCAAGGACUAGAAUUGUAUGUCAUGUUAUUAUUGGCUUUCUAUCAGACAUAAAUUGGGGAGUUUUAGCACUUUUCUUUUUGUUUGUGUAAUCUGAGAAAUA